GGCCCGUUGGUCAAGCGGUUAAGACACCGCCCUUUCACGGCGGUAACAUGGGUUCAAAUCCCAUACGGGUCA
rnacentral:tRNA from 1 species